UACGGGGGGAGCAAGCGUGGUUCGGAUUUACUGGGCGUAAAGGGCGCGUAGGCGGCCACCGCAAGUCGACUGUGAAAUCUCCGGGCUUAACCCGGAAAGGUCAGCCGAUACUGCGGGGCUAGAGUGCAGAAGGGGCAACUGGAAUUCUCGGUGUAGCGGUGAAAUGCGUAGAUAUCGAGAGGAACACCUGCGGCGAAGGCGGGUUGCUGGGCUGACACUGACGCUGAGGCGCGAAAGCUAGGGGAGCGAACGGG
rnacentral:rRNA from 1 species